UCUCAGCUCCUUUUGUUAAAUUUUUUGAGUUCAGAUGAAAACAUUCUUGCUUAUAAUGGAAAGGAAGAAGAACCAAAAGAACUCAGAUCCCUUAACUUUUAUCCAGUGUUCUAUAUAAUGCCUCACUGCCUCAAGAUAAUCCUCUCAUCGGAAUUCCAAGUUACAGUGGUUUGUACUUACUCAUACUUACUCACAUUCAAACUGACAUCACAGUUCUGACUCCAACAAAGAAAUUCCAGAAGCAUGGAAUUAAUACACUAAAUUACACCUAAAAUGCGAUGGUUCGAGGACAUCUCUCUGUACAGAGUUCAUGCCAGAUGGUCAACUUCACAAUCCGCCUGAAGAACUUCUAAAACCGUUUUUUAACACGUGGACGUCCUGCAGCCUAAACUGACAACGGAAAGUGCUCUUCACACAGUUCCAAUAUCCCUUUUCCUGGAAUUUCUGCUUCAGGAAGGCCUAUGGAAAGAACUCAGGACUUCCAGUCAGAAGAUUCCCAACCCCACAGAACCUAAACAAACUGGAAAGGAGAAUAAACAACACAUUCCUGUUCUACUAAAGUACGUCACCCUGCUGAUUUUCAUAUGUAAAAGUUUACCCAAGAAAAUCUGGAACCACUAAACACUUCU